GCGCGCACAGGCACACACACCACGCACACAGGCACAUACCCACACACCCCCCACAUGCACUCUGGCUCUCUCUCCUUUUGUCCCUCAUGCACACGCACUCACACACACACACACACUCUCACACACACACACGUAGCGUGUUGGUGCAGCGAGUUACGUGUGAAAAGUUAUCUGCGGCAUGCGUGACACGCGAGGAGAUUCCUGCCAACGUCAGGGCCCUUUUUUGCCAUGCAGCAACAAGUGGCAGAAUCAAUGGUUGUACAGUUAUUCAGCAAUGUAAUUCAUUUCACUGGCUUUGGCUCCCAGCCAGAUCCGCCAUCUGUCUCUUGCUCUCCCUCUCUCUCUCUCGCCUGAAUUUGUCCUACAUUUCGUAAUGUUACGUGCUUGCCAUCCUUAUUCUAUGUCAGAGGUACAGCACGAGCCUCACCCCCGUUCCGACGUGGAGUUCUGUGAGUUCGGUGGCACUUUGGAUAUUCCACUCCAGUGCCAUAGGAAGAAAAGGGUAAGGAAAGAACAGAGGGAUAGCUGCAAAGAGAAUGGUGCUCUUCUAUCUGAAAGCCAGUGCCUCCGCUUUUUAUUUAAAGCAUUGAUAUGGAUCUGUCUCACAUGGGAACUUUUCCUGCUUCGUUAGAGUAUCUUCGUUUUCUUUAUUGGAUGCUGGCACUGUACGCCACUGCACAGCUCCGUGGAAUGCCUGCUGUUGGAUACUUGCAGAUCCCUGCCACCAAGCAACCUCCUGCACUGGAAAUCGGGUGACUACUCCAGGAUCUUAUGCGUGCUUGCUGUUUGAAGCUGCAGAAAAGUGAAUAAUCAAUUAAGUAUUGAUUUCUUGUAAGAUUUGGUAAAUUUCAAAGGCGAGACAAAGAGGAUGGCUUAAGGAAAGCACUGCAGGGACUUGGCGUAAAUUAGACAACUAACAGCAGUGCAGAAUAAAAUAACACCUCAACUGAAUAUUUCCUUGGAAGAAUUAGCACUAGCUAUUGGAAGACGAUGGUGGAUUUAAUCAAGACGGCAGGCACGCUUGAGUUUUAACCGUGAACCUGAAAGAGGAGCUAAUUAUAACCACCUUUUUAUAUGGAGCUAAUUUGACUGAAUGGAUGCAAAUGUGCUUUAUUUAUGGAUGAAGAAGCAAGCCUUACAGCAUUGACUUUGGGAUCAUCGCAUAUGCUAAGCUUUACAGCUUCUUUAAAAGUCAAGCCUACAGUACAUUUUUAUUUACUGAGAAGGUAUUUAUAUGUAAGCAUAAGCUAGCCGUACAAAAGAUUCAUCAGAACAAUGUACUGUGUGGCACCGAGGAUCUAAUUAUAAUUUUGCAGCAUUUCAUGUUUUCUCUAAUUUGGUACUUUUCAACCCUCGCUUGUGAUGGGCUAUAAAUGGGACAAUAAAUGUAUGAUUUAAACUAUUGUGAUUUUCAUUGUAUAGUUUAUUAAUCGUACUGUAGUUUUCUUAACGUGUUUUUGAAUUAUUCAGCAGUAAUUUAUAAUGAAAGAAGCAGAAAUGGUGGGGUGGUUUUAAAUUCAUUUAUAAUCUCACAGAUCUAAAUGUACAGGUUCUACCAGCCGAUGAGCUCUAUAAUUAUGAAAGAAUGUUAAAAUUUUCAGAUAAAUGGGGCACUGACUUUACAAUGGGCAUAAUAUUGUAUAAUCAGUAAAAGGAGGAUUGUUAUGUUUUGACUCUGUGGAGAAUGGUCUUGGGUAGUUAACUCCUUCUAUGCUGAUAAUGAUAAGCAAAUGUACUUUAUAUAAGAACAUAGUGGGAGAAUGUAAUGCACUGGUUUGAUGUUUUGCUAGUCUGAAACCUUAGCAUAUUUUUUUUUUUCAUUUAUUUCCAUUUCUGUUACUUUUCUUUUUCCUAUUUGCUUCUCUGGGUUUUGUUGAGGCUUUUUUUUCCUCCUGUCUUGCAAUCUACAUUCCCUGAGCAACCACAGGAACCAAGUUACAUUAAGCUUCAACACAAAGACGAUGUAAGAAUAAUGAAUCCUCAUUUGCAUCGACAUUUGUAUUCAGAUUUGCCAGGCUAUAAACUUGGCAGAUCAAGCGGAAUAUUAAGUAGAGGCUUCCAUGGUGACUUGAAACCCCUAUAAGAGAAGAAAGAUUGCAUAAAUGCUAUACUGCAUACUUUGACCAGUUCAGCAGCAAUGCAUAUUGAUAUUGAACAAAAUCAAUUGCUACUGGAUGUUGACCAGAAAGUUGGAAGGGCUGACAUCCUCCCACAGUGAUGAAGAAUCCCAGCCAGGAUGCCUGUGGGGUUGACUCUCCUCUCCAGCACCCACACAAGGGCUGGAAAUAAAGCGGUUGAAGUCACCCUGUAGCUGGAGUUGCCAAGGCUUUGUCUACCCUGUUUCUGAAGAAAAGUCAAAACAGAGGCUGGUAUUUUUUUACUUUUUUGUGACCACUUGAUGUGCAGUUCCCGACUUCAGAGAUAAGUGUCAUGUAAUGGUGCUUCCAGUAACAGCGGUCAGAUAUUUCUGUAUGACUACAGUUUUAACUGUCAGCUGGAAGUAGUUUAAUAGACCUAAUAAAUAUGACCAUUGUCCUUAUUCUGGCUUUCCUUAAUGAUGCUAACUGUAACUUUGCAUUUUUAUGUACCAGAAUAAUAAAAUGUUAGUCAUAUUUUUCUCAGUUUGACUGCUCAAAGAAAGUGGAUGUGCGUAUCUGCCUGUCUCUGUGUAUACUGUAUCAAAAUAGAUUUUCAAAGUGGUAAUGUGAAAGAUACAAGUAGAGACUUCAGGGAUUGGCUGUAGACUUAAUCAUAUGUCUCAUGUUGAAAGAGAAUUACUUGGCUGAAUUUGUCUCAAAGAUAUUUUGGCAGCUUUUCAUUUGUGUCUUUUGCCAGUAACAGACAUCAAAAUAAGUGCAAAGAUCUUUUUUCCCCUAAACUGCCAAAUUAAAACAUUUUCUGUCAGUUCCUUCCAGUUCAUUGCUCUUUCACAGAAUCAUAAAGUAACCAACUAUGUGAACAAAAAAACAGGUCUGAUAAGUAUUUGUGUUGGGCUUUUUUCAAUCAGAACUUCAUGGAGAUGUGUUGGAAGGGACCUUAAGAGGUCAUCUAAUCUACGCUCCUGCUCUGUAUUGAAUCAGUUACACAGUGUUACUGGCAGACAUUUGUCUAAUGUUCAUUAAAAAGAGCCAUUACAGGGGUUUCCUCAACCUCACUGAGUAACCUGUUCAAAUACUCUUCUUCAAAUAAGAAUGUUUUUCCCAUUAUUUAAAUUAAAUAUUUUUGCAUGCAAAUGCACUGCUUACUUCUUUCCUUACCACCAUUACAUAUCACGAACUGUUGAUUACUCUUUUAAUAAUAAAUUGAUUUGACUUUUUUUGA